GACGUAGGGCGCGAGCGUUUGUCCGGAUUUAUUGGGCGUAAAGAGCUCGUAGGCGGCUUGUCGCGUCGACUGUGAAAACCCGAGGCUCAACUUCGGGCUUGCAGUCGAUACGGGCAGGCUAGAGUUCGGUAGGGGAGACUGGAAUUCCUGGUGUAGCGGUGAAAUGCGCAGAUAUCAGGAGGAACACCAGCGGCGAAGGCGGCGCUCUGGGCUGGAACUGACGCUGAGGAGCGAAAGCGUGGGGAGCAAACAGG
rnacentral:rRNA from 1 species